rnacentral:lncRNA from 1 species
AAACAGGACGCUUUGUGUUUCCGUAGUGUUUAAUGCUGGAGAAGGUGCCGAAUUCGCUCGCUCCCUCUGAGAGGUGGUCGGACCGGACCUCAGUGCGUAAGGUGAUAAGGGGAGCGCGUGUCGUUAUCAGAAGGUCACAUGCCCCUCUGAAGGCCUCUGCACCGCUGGGGGUCUCGCGGAGCACUCAUUAUCACUCGCUGACAAGACAGCGCAGAGAAAGAGGGGGAAGAUGAAGGCCGUUGGGUUCUGCAGGUGCCAGAACUUCUCCUGGCCCGGUGUCUGGCCCAGUCCGGUUUCCAUUUACCGUUCGUUUUCAGACCCUGGGCACCUCAUUAUGGAGGGGCGCUCCACUGCCACCCAUCAGAGAUGGAGCCCUCUGCCCAGCUCUGGGUCAGCCGGUACCAGGGGCCAGCACUGACCUCUGGUUGAACUCUGACCCCGCAUUCCUACGAGGAGUUCAGUGGGUUUCCAAGUGCCCACCUGGAGAGGAGCUGCUCCCGCCCCAGACCUCACGCAUUCAUCACUUCCCCAGGAGGCUGCAGGACUGCCAUCCCGUCACACGUCACAGCGUUGUACUCAUGCUGGACAGAGUCUCGGCCAUGCUGAGUAAGCAGAGCACCAGACUCUGCCAGGGCCCAGCGGUCACAUCUCAUCCCCAGAAGGAGGACAAGUUACUCUGACCGAGAAGCACCAGGAGCCAGAUCCCGGAGCCCAGCGAAGGUGGGCCGCCCCCUUGUGAGAAGAGCACAGCUGUUACUGUAAGAGGGCCGUCCAGAGAGCGGAUCCCUCUCCUCCGCCUCUCCAAAGGAUGAAAUGAGCGAGCCGGGCACUGUGCAGUCAGCCUUUGCAUCUGCAAUUUCAGACCUCUUUAUAUCAUUUUUCAUGCUUGCCAGAAAUGAAUAAUGCACGCAUUAAUGGCUGCC